AGAGCGAACGCUGGCGGCAGGCUUAACACAUGCAAGUCGAGCGGGCGUAGCAAUACGUCAGCGGCAGACGGGUGAGUAACGCGUGGGAACAUACCUUUUGGUUCGGAACAACACAGGGAAACUUGUGCUAAUACCGGAUAAGCCCUUACGGGGAAAGAUUUAUCGCCGAAAGAUUGGCCCGCGUCUGAUUAGCUAGUUGGUGAGGUAAUGGCUCACCAAGGCGACGAUCAGUAGCUGGUCUGAGAGGAUGAUCAGCCACAUUGGGACUGAGACACGGCCCAAAACUCCUACGGGAGGCAGCAGUGGGAAUAUUGGACAAUGGGCGCAAGCCUGAUCCAGCCAUGCCGCGUGAGUGAUGAAGGCCCUAGGGUUGUAAAGCUCUUUUGUGCGGGAAGAUAAUGACGGUACCGCAAGAAUAACGCCCCGGCUAACUUCGCGCCAGCAGCCGC
rnacentral:rRNA from 1 species